ACAGUCCACCACCGGCCGCAUGGCUGUGGAUCCCCAGUGGCCAACACCCCCCUGCUGGCCUCCCUUCCCCCACCUUCCUGGCAUCCACCUCUGUGACAGAGCAGCCCCUGGCUUUCCUGUUUCCCAGCCGCUUCUGACCAGUCCACAAGGCUCGUGCCUCAGGAGGACUAGACACGCUCAUGGCUGCUCUCCUCUCCUGAACACAACCUGACUGAGAUGCGCUGCUACUUGAAUGCUGCCUGCACUGACAAUUUUUGACCCGAGUGAGAACCACGGAGGAGUGAAGCCAAUGCCUCCCACGGACCUGCCCAACUAGUACCCAGAGGGCAAGGAUGCCUGUUGAAGCAUCCAGAGAAGACAAACAAGGUCUCCAAGCAAGGUGAAAAGGGGUAGGGAGUGGAGAUAAAGAGGCAAAUGGAAACUCUAGAGUGAGGGGUGUAUCUGGAUUUUUAACAGAGGCACACCUUCCUCACCUCGUCUUCUCUACUCGGCUCAUGGGUUGGUGGAGGUUGUCAUCUGUGGAAAAAUGAGAGUCCGUUUCCAUUUGCUAAUGGACUUGAUGCAGGUUUCAGAAUAUUCGUGCCAGUGAUGCACUACAGCCAAUGGGGGCCGGGAUAUGCAGGAAGGUGUGGGGGACAGGCAGCAAUAACUGAAGCCCUCUUCAUUAGCAUAUGGGGGUGAAGAAAGUCAGAGAUUUAACAACACUGCAAGAUCCACAAAGUGAAAGUUCAAGGUUUAAGUACAUUGUGAAGUAGUAGAAUAUUUGAAGGUCGACUAUGAUAAUUAAAGAUACAUACUGUAAUUUCUAGAGCUAUGUUCCCCCCAAAACGUUUGCACAAUGAUAGAAAUGGGCUAAAUAUGUGUGUCCAGUUGGUAGCCACUUGCCACAUGGAGCAUAGCUCUAAAGUGUGAGGGAAAACAAAUCUAAGAAAGAAAAGAUUAUAUUUUUCUUUGUGCAAAGGGAGACUUUCCCCUGCUCUCCUCUUUCUUAGAGC